rnacentral:misc_RNA from 1 species
CCCCCCCCUCCUUCGCCAACGUCCUACGCACAAGGAGUGCCAACGUCCCCAUCCCGGCACCAUCCGGCCUGGUACUGGCAGUUUACCAACUGAGGCCGGUCAAACGACGAUAAAGACUGCAGAGGACACAAAAUCGGUGAUCAAGCAGGCGGUGAACCCCAAGGUAGUAGGUGUGCAGGUAGAGCGAGUGCGCAAAAUAGGCAACGCGGGGAUCCUCGUUCAGACCACUAGUGAGGCAAGAUAUAAAGAGAUACUAGUGCUACACUUUUAAAAAUAAUAAUUUUACUCCUUAUAAUUAAGUCUAUAGGAGUUGAUCACAAUAAUCUAACAGUGCUCCUUCAUGGAGGUAAUUCUGUUGAAGGUGACGACAAUAGUGACCGCGGGCCCACGCCGUCUUGCCUCUGUUCCUCUUUCCUCGUAUCAGUAUCCAUAUAGCCAUAGCUUUGUACAACCUGAUCGCCUCGGAACGAAAUAAUUUGCUUUCGUGUCUCGUAUUAUGUCCUUCACGUUGGUGAAUCCGCAUUCAGCAGUAAGUCCUCGCAGCCGCGCUGCCCAUUACUGAUGUGUUUCACCUUGUAGUUGUACUGACGAGUAAAACUUUUGUCGUUCACUAAACCUACACUUUUUGGGUGUAAAGUGAUAAUCAAGUAUCUUGACUACGUCUUCAUAAGGAACGUCUUGUAAAUAAUCCUUAGAGCCGCCAUACACGGACUGCUUCAAGCAGACAGUGCCAGCAUCUUUAAGCGGUCGCCGUUGCGUCAUCUGCAGUUUCAAUACAAAAUAGUCAUUCGCAAUACACGAACCGCUCAAGCAGUUGCAACUGCUUCGGGCGGUUGGCCGCGCGGUGAAAUUUCAUCAUGCGGUCAAGCAGUCGCCAGGCAUACACUGACUGCUCGAGCUGUCAACUGCUCUUGCGCAGUUACCCACCCGCGCUCAUUCUGAGUCACGCUCGCUUCCCGCCCGCACGCGUCGUUUGUUUAUUGAGAAAAAAGGAAGGCAAUAUCGACUGUGAAGCGCUUAUAAGUGCAAUAAAAUCACAAGAACUUAUAUGGAAUUAUAAACUUGAUGACCACAGUGACAGAAUAAAGAAAAAUAAUGCAUGGGCAGCUAUUUGUGAACAACUAAUAGAAAACUUUAACGAAAAACCGGUGGCGGAUAACAAUAAAAUUGCCAUGGCAUUACAGAAGAAAUGGAAAGUGUUAAGAGAUGGGUUUAGAAGGUAUGCGAAAAAAAUCAAACCAAAGAGUGAUUCAGCAGCCACCAAGAUACGACCCUACCCAUAUUAUGAGCAGUUAUUAUUUUUAAAGGUCAUUGAGGCUAGACCAGAGAAAUCAGAUAGUUUGAAAGAAACAUGUGAAGAAAGCGAUCAUAAUAAAGAAUCUGCAAAAAAAAAUUUAGUACUUUAAAACGAAAACUAACUAAUAAAACUGAAGACGACCUAAUUGAAAAAUUAUAUAAACGCAUUGAUGAAAAACCCAGUUCAAAGCUUCCAGUAGAGGAUGAUGACAAAAUGUUCUUACUAUCACUAGCUGGAGAGUUCAAAAAUAUUAAAGAUCAAUAUAAAUUAGAUGCCAAGUCAGAAAUCAUCAACCUAAUUAAAUACUUUAAAGGAAUAUCACAGCAUACACAGUCAAGCUAUUAUGGUGAAGGAAUAUCACAGCAUACACAGUCAAGCUAUUAUGGUGAAAGUAGGGGAUAUUUUGCACCUUCAACUAAUGAGCCCGUGGACACAAUUAUUCAAUGAGCAACGUGGAACAACGUGGUUACAACUAUUCAAGUUACAACAAGGGUUAUCAAUCGGCACCUUCUACAAGUGAUCAGCUUUCACCACUAGUCUCAGCUAAUGAUGAGUUUUCUCAAUCAUCCUUUGAAGACAGUCAUCCACCUUCGUCUGUUCGAUCUGAUGAUAUUAUUAGUUGAUAUAUUCAAUGAUUAAAUAAUAAAUUUAGAAAGUUAACAUUUGUUUUUUUACUUACCUUAGUGUUACAGCUAGCCUUUCUUCUGGAGGAAUACUUUUCCUCAUAAUAGUAUCGUCACGUUUAAUUUUUUCCUUGAGUAUAUUACAAAGUUCAUCAAAAGAUGAGAUUGACAUUCUAAAAUAAUUAAAAAACUUUUCUUUGUCAAGUCUUAGUUCCAAAAACAAGUGAUUAAAUUCUCCCUUGGAAUUUCGUGUUUCCAAUAUUGGAUGCACCCACAAUUUUCUUUUUUUACGCCGCCGUCGUCGUCGUAUGAGCAAAAGCAGUAGAAGUGCUUCCUCCUCAAAAUCCAUGAUGCUACUGAUUGAAAUUGCCAACUGCUCGAGCAGUUAGACUAACUGCUCGAGCUGUUAUAAACGGUAGCUACAAGCUGUUGACUCUGACUGCACGAGCGGUCCGUGUAUGUUGAUCACUGGACUACUGCUCGAGCGGCCCGUGUAUGGAGUACCUUAGGUAAGGCGAGGUCUGAAACCAGUUUGUAGGUGGCUUCCGUGAGUGCGCUCAGCAAGAUUGCUCGUCUUUUUUUUCGAGUAGCAAAGAUUUUUCAUCCAUAUCAUUCGCAAUAAACCACUGUGAUAGUCUACUUUUCAUCCUUAUCCGCCAUCCGAAACUCGCAAGGUUUUUUUUUGGGUAUUCGUCGCCACUGUAAAGUAUGCAAUACGGGACAUGAGAAACAAACGCUGGUAGCGCACUGAUUUAUUAGGCAUCGACAUGGGCGAUACUGGCAAAAACUAAGAGAAAUGCAUAAAUAUGUAACGCGACUAAAGCGUAGAUGUGUAGGUGUAUACUAUGCGCUACUAAAAAAAAAUGUCCUAUAUUUUCCUUAUAGUGUAGUGUAGGUGCACUAUAGAUAAUCCACUAAUUAACAUGAAAAUCUACACAACGUCACUUCAACUUCCUACAUAGAAAAUAUAGACGAACACAAUUUAUUGCUGGCGGAUGGCGUUACAUGUGAAUUUGUUAGAAGCUCGCCUUCUUCAAGAGGAAUUCCGCAAGAACGGAGAAUCGCCAGCGCGUGUUGUUUUAAAAUAAUCCUAAAAUGAAGAAAAAGUGUCAUUACUAUAAAAACCUUGGACAUAUUAAAGCAAAGUGAAACUCUUACCAUCUUAGAGGCUCUUAGUAAAGAUGUGACCUACGAUCAAUUGGUUGAAGCGUUGGAAUCGAGAUAUGGUGAUUCUCAUCUGGAACAUGUAUUUCGUGCUCAGUUAAAGGAUCGAGACCAACGCAGCUCCGAAAACCUACAGCAGUGGGCUCUGCCAAACCAAUGACCACUCGUAAACGGAAACUACAAAAAUCUGAAAUAUUAACGAGUACGCCGAUCAAGGAAGACCAAAAGCAGAAAUUUGAUAAAAAUAAAGUUAAGAAGGUUAAUAAAGGACUGAAUGAUAAAUCAACAAAAGUUCCUGUUAAGACUGUUCCUAAGAAAACUAAGACUGACAAGAAUAAGAAAAAAGCUAAACGGCCAAAGAAAAUUUAAAAAUUUAAGGAUAUUUUAUGCUUUUUUUGCGGCGAAAUUUACAUUGAAGAAGAUGAUAAUCCUAUUGAAAAUUGGAUUCGAUGUGAUAUUUGUCAACAAUGAUGUCACGAAGAAUGUUUCGCAUUCGAUGGCACGGAAGGGUAUAUUUGUGAUAACUGCCAAUCUUAAUUUUCUAAUUAUUUACUUUUCCCGAGUACUGUAUCCGCUUUGCCCAAGGGUCCGGGCAAAACGAAUACUUUCGUACAUUUUUGAAUUUUAUUUCCAGUUAAUAUUUGUUUAAUUAUUUAGGUUAAUUGAUGACAGUAUUUGUAAGAGCAAUUAAUAAAGGCCGAUUUGUACUAGUUAUUUUGUUUUUAUACCUUAUACCUUUUCUGCUAAUCUUAAAUAUCUUAAGGUAUCCACUUUGCCCGGCCUUCCCCUACAUGCGGCCGGGUAUAAAAGAAGCGCGCGCGGCCGCGUACGAGUCACAACGCGACCGAGAGCGAUAACUGCGAGUGAUAUCGAAGCGAAUACAGUGAAUUGUGUGGCGCGGUGUUUGUGAUUAAGUGAUUUAGUGUUACAGUAGUUCACGUGCUGUUGUGUUUGUGUUAGUGAAGUGUGCUUUUAUUUUAAAGUCUCAUCGGUAUUUACAUAUUCAAUUCUUAUAACAUUCUUUUCAACCAUAUCUUUAAGAAAAUGUACUUGUUUAGGGGGUGCUCUGGUGUAGUGUGUGUGCUAAGAGUCCGGGUUCACACAAUAAAGACACUCUUUCACAUAAAACCAAUAUUUAUUAUUAGCACUAGUAACACUACAGUCCACGGGGGGUAAUCUUCAUACAAGGUUUACGUGGGUUUUAUUAUCUGUGCUCAACUAUAAUGCGUGACAGUUUCUUCCCCUCCUCCUUUCAUACUUCUCGCCAUUUUCGUCCACCGUCGCAUGGGCAACCAUGUUGUUUUUUGUGAUCUGUCAAAUCUCAAUAAUUAUCUGUCAAACGUCAUUACAGUUUUAAAGUUAGUCAAGUGAAGUUUUGCGUUGAUUAAAUUCCGUAACUUAUUCUCUUAAUUUCUAAAGCUGUAAUAGCGCGUUUUUUAAGUUGGUCGAGUGAAGUUUUGCGUUGAUUCAAUUCCGUAACUUAUCCUCCCAGUUUUUGAACCUGCAAUCGUGUUUUGAAACAAUGUUUAAUCAUUGUUGCGUUGAGUACUGUGAUAGUAAACGAAAGGACAUCAACCUUUAUAGGUUUCCAAAAAGUGAAAUAAUGUCCCAAAAGUGGUUGGAAUGUAUUAAUUCGGAUUCAUUGCGAACCUUGAACACUCAAGAUCUUCGCAAGCAGUAUGUGUGUCGAAAACAUUUUGUAAAAACAUUUUUUACCUCGUCGGGUCAGAGAUCUCGUCUACGUAGCGAUGCAUAUCCAACGAUAUUCAAUCAUGGGACUACAAUGAUAAUACCUGAUGAAGCCAAUAAUGUCAAUGAUGAGCAUAAUUAUAUGAAAAAAAGAAUGCACAUGGAUCAUACCUAUUGUAAACCACAUGUAACAGAGAAACGAAGAAGAAUUGGAGGUGAAAUGUGUACCAUGCCAUCUGCAUCUUAUAUUGAAAAAGUAACUAUUGGGAAACCAACUGUUUCAUCCAUCCACUCUGUAUUGAAACCACGAAGGCAUGCUCUUUUGAUCAAAAAAAGACACACACCUUUGACUUUAAAAAUAUCAAGGGAAUAUAAUUUGUCCAAAAAUGAAGAUAAUUUUAAGAAACGGGCUAAAAGAGCCAUCAAGUUUUCAAGACAUUUAAGUAUAAUUAAAUGCCUAGAAAAACUUAAUCCAUUGGCACAAAAGUUUUUAUGGAUGCAGAUAAAUCUAUGUAAAAAAAAAGCCAGAGGACGUCGAUUCACUGAUGAUGAAAAGUUAUUAGCUAUGACUAUUAUGAAGCAAAGUCCAAAGUGCUAUAAAUUUCUGCAAAAAAUAUUUAUUUUACCAUCAAAAUAUACAUUAAAUAAAAUGAUCACAAAUUUAAAUGUUGAAGCUGGCAUAAAUGAACAAAUUUUUGAAGCUGUAAAGCAAGAGAUAGUGUGAUAAUAAUCAAUGGGCACAGACUAAGCGUAAUAUAUGACCCACCGCACCUAUUGAAAGGUAUAAGAAAUAAUUUUUUAACAAAAAACAUAGAAUUGAAUGGAAACAUUUCAACAUGGAAAGACAUAAUUGAAGUUUAUAAAACUGAUUGCCAUCAUGCCGAAAUGAGGUUGUUACAUAAAUUGAAUGAUGAACAUGUCAUUCCAGAAAAAAUUAAAAAGAUGAAGGUAUGAAUAUGUUUUACUUUAUUAUUCAAUGACUUUCAUUUUAUCACAUUGUGUCCUAUCAUGCAACUAAUUAUUGCUCCCUCUAAUUCAAUGAACACCAAAAUAGUGGUAUCAUCUCAGUUUAGCUGAUGCAUUACUACUGUCUGUGGAAUAGCUUUGCAUCUUCAAGUUAUGUAGAGAAUUCUUUGAUGUAGAAAUGAGUAAACUUUUAUGUACUUGGGAUCUUGGGAUUUAAAAAAAAACAAAUCUAAUCAUAAUAAUAUAAGCAAACUAAUUGGUUGUAUUUUUAUCACCAAAUUAGCAUAUUUAUAAUGUAUAGCAUUGGUUCCAUCACACUUUUCUAAGGCAUUUAGCCAAAUGUUUUCCUAUUUGUACUUUACCUUACCUUACCUUACCACCAAUUGAUACGGGACUAUGGAACCAGACUUGUGUAUAUUAUAUUGUUAGAUAUCUUCAGCUUAUAGCUAAAUAUUAUUUUAAUUUCAUGUAAAAAAUGCUACUAGAGUAUUUAGCAAGACAAUGGCAGCUACUUUAUCAUAUUCUGCUCAGUUUUGUAAGUAUAUGAUAUUACCUAUAUUCAGAAUUUGAAAAUAAGUAUUUAGUGGCUAAUAUUUUCCUAAUAUGCUUUUAAGAAUGAUUAAUCUGUUCCUCUCAACUAUAACCCCCUAAGACAACAUUCACUUAUAGUAUAAUAAUAUAAGGCCAACAAGCCUAAUUAUUUAUUUAUUUAAUAUUAUUAUUAAAUAUAAGUAAUAUAUAAGUACACGGUUAUUUAAUUAAUCUGAAUGAUUUACUAAUUUUCUUUUAUUUCUAGCUCAUUAUGCUGACGGAAAAACUGUCAGCACUACGUUAAAAAAUACAGCAGACAUAAUUUCAUUUAUGGAUGAUCUAUUUGACUCCGUGAACGGCGCAAAUACGAAAAAUAGGGGCAAACCACUUCGACAAGCGGUAACAGAUAAAUCGCCCCACAUUGCAUUUUGGCAAGAAGCUAUAAAAAAAAUUGAAAAUUUAAAAUUUGUUGAUAAUUGUAGGUAAAAAAGUGUCUGUGCCUUCAUUGAAAAAUUGGGUCACUACCCUUAAAAGUUAUCAGAGUGUGGCAAUAUUUAAAAAGUAAACAUAUUAAUAUUAUGCGCCCGCGAUACUUUAACUCUGAUCCCAUUGAAAACUUUUGGACAGGUGCGAGCGUAUAACUUUCGAAAUAAUAAUUUAAAUUGUCACACUUUCAAAAGCACCUUUAAGUCACUCUUAAUCACAAGGUUUAUAAAAUUUCACUCUGAGACAUUUAAUUGUGAAGAGGAUUCAGGUGAACAAUUAUUAAAAGUAAAAUCGUUAUUUAAUAUUAUGAACAACACUAAAAAAAAUAAUAUUGUAAAUAUAGAUUCACCUGAAUCCUCUGGGUCUCAGAAUACAUCAGAAAAUAUUAUAACAUCAGAAAAGUUAGAAAGAAUUAAUGUUCACUCACAUGCAUUUACUACUGGGUGGGUUGUAAAAAAAAUUCUAAAAAAAAUUGAUUGUAAAAAGUGUAAAGAUAAUUUGACUUGCAAGGAAUCCAAUUAUGAAACUAAUUCCAUUAAUCAUUGGAUUUCUUGCAAGGAAUUUAAAAAUAUGAAGAAUCCUCGAAAAUUGACCUACCCAUCGGAGUAUGCCGUGAGGUUUUUUAAAAAUAUCACUGUAGAGUCGAUUAAGUAUUUAGAAACCAAACCACAUGUGGAAAAAGUAAUAGAAAGUUUAAAAAAUAUUAUAAAGUCAAAGUAUGUAUUUGAAUCGCUAGAGUGUCAUAUACACAAAGAAAAGGUGUUAGAAUAUUUUCUUGAUUUAACUUUGCGAUUAACAGUGUUUAAUUGGUGCAAUACAAUUAAUAAAAUUUUAAAAGGCACGGAUAUUUUUCGCCUGCAAAAUAAAAAAUUGCCUAAUAUGCAAAUGAAAGCAUAUAAUAAAUAUUUAACAAGAUUAAGAAAUAAAUCUCGUC